rnacentral:rRNA from 1 species
UACGAAGGGGGCUAGCGUUGUUCGGAAUUACUGGGCGUAAAGGGCGCGUAGGCGGCUUUCUAAGUCAGGGGUGAAAUCCUGGAGCUCAACUCCAGAACUGCCUUUGAUACUGGAGAGCUUGAGUCCGGAAGAGGUGAGUGGAACUCCGAGUGUAGAGGUGAAAUUCGUAGAUAUUCGGAAGAACACCAGUGGCGAAGGCGGCUCACUGGUCCGGUACUGACGCUGAGGUGCGAAAGCGUGGGGAGCAAACAGG